GCCGUCGUGGACCAUAGUGGUCAUCCUCUACCUAUAAGUUAUGGGGAGGGUAGGUUAAGAGGGAGCCGGAGGUUCGAUUCCUCCCGACGGCA